CAUGAGGCCAGAGGGUCCUCGAUCAGACCGAACCAGAGGGUCCAACGAGCUACGGGACUGGAGGGUCCCGCUGAGACACAUUGACCGGAGGGUCAUACCGAGUUAUAGCCUCCAGUGGCUUAUGUGUUGUAUGUGGUAUUUUGGGGAACUCACUAAGCUUUGUGCUUACCGUGUAAUGUGUUAUGUGUUUCAGGUUUCUCAGGAUCGCGGGAGGGCACCGACUUGAUUGUACACACCAGAGAAAGAGUUAUGAGGAUCCUGGAUUAUUAAUGGAGUUAUGUUUUGUAAUUUGAAUAAAAAAGAUUUUUAUACAAUAUGUUAUGAAAAGUAUGCGAUUUUUAAAUGAAAAUUUUGUUUGAAAAUUUACGUUGUUACACGAGACCUCCGAUGCCACCGUCCUAGACCCUCGGUCCGACAACAAGGCAUCAGCUCAUGGUUAGGCAAUGAAGAAUAUACAUGACAGGACUGGUUCUUCAGAAAAUAUUUAUAGAAGUUCAACUGAUUCUUCAGAUAGAAUUUUUAUAGAAAAUGUGUUCCUAACUACUAUUAUAAGUUGCUGAUUUUUUUCAUUUGCUGAAAUCUGUUGCUAAUCUUGUUAUUAUGUGCUGAUAUGUUGAAAUUUAUUGUUGACAGUGUUAUGUUUGAUUUGGAUUAAUAUUAAUUUUCAAUUAUGUUUAA